rnacentral:piRNA from 1 species
UAUCCUAUUUUUUGUAUUGUU